rnacentral:lncRNA from 1 species
UAAUUUUUUCAAGCUGUCGAGGGGAGCCCUUAGAGGGGACAACUUCUUGGAGUGGCGGCCAAGCUGGGCCUUACCAGGUGUGAUCAUAGUCUUAGGUAUCAUGGAGUUCCCAUCUCCGCAGAGGCAGGCUCUUCCCAGCUCCACGAGAGGCGGAGAAUUGCAACUUCUUCCUCUCUGGGAACGGCCUAUCUAGCUCCUGGGAGGAAUCUCAAAGAUCUUUCUUCUUAAGACAUCGAAGAAAAACUGAGAGGCUGUAGCUCGACCUAGUUUCUGUGAAGAAUUUUGUCAAGUGAUCCCUCUCGGACCCUGAGCCUCUUUAUUUGGAUUUUGUGCCUUGAGCACCAAGAGAAUAUGCACUCUGGGUUGCCUGGACAGCUGGGGUGGUGAUUCACAGGAAGGGUCCAAGCCAUCACUACACCUGACUCAAGCCGGAAAGAGCUCCCAGAGGACUUCCUGGAGCUGCCAGCCUCAGCCUGAGAUGCGGGAUAUUCGUCCCCAAGGAGCGAGGAGGGACAGCUCGCCUUCUUUGCAGGUGAGCCUUGUGGGUUCCAAAAUGAAAUUGAAUGGAAGGGAAAAUCUACGGACAGUCAGUCUAUAAUGCACAAGCCUGAUAUCAUGAAGAAGAAUUGCUUUGAAGCCUGAAAUAACUUGAUUAUGGAAAUAGAGGAGAGUACCAAUACUAAAUAGAUUACCUCCAGAGUAUCGUGUAUGUGUGGAUCUGUGCAAGACACUUCGAAAUGGGUACUCAAAAUGAAAGUGUGCAGAAGAGAGCAACCAUAAAAGACAGACAUUGAUGGAAACCGUGCAACAAGAUGCAUUGCUGAUAAAUUGGAAUGAUUUGACCCAGAGAAGAGGAGACUCAAAGAGAUAUGAAACUUAUUAAUAGGAUUGAUGGUUGGGUUGCCCAGAUGGCAGGUAGGACUGCCAAGUUACUAGUAGAGUGGCUGAAGAGGAAGGAGAAGGAUCAGCAGGACAUAAACACCCUCUCAUAUUUAGCUCCCUGGAGUCUGGCCUUGAGGGUGACCCUGGGCCAUGCAAUUGGCAAACCUGCUCUGUGUAUCAAUCAGUGGAGCUUCUCAUUUGUUGAGUACAAUUCUUCUUCCUGCCUCU